rnacentral:lncRNA from 1 species
AUGGCGGCGAGCGGUGUGGAGAAAGACGCGCGGGUGGCGGGGCCUUGCACUGCGGCGGCCCUCCGGCACCCUUGUGCUGCCCCCCACACCCUUGUGCUGCCCCCCCUUCCUCCAGGCCCUAGGACCUCAUGCCGGGGGAGGCAGCGUGGGCCCCAGGCCCCGGUACUCUGCGCCUCCCGCAGACGCCGGCUUCCCGGCCCGGUUUCCAGCGCCGGGAAUCCUUCCACUGUCUGUCUCUGCCCAGGGCAACCCCUGCGCAGUAACGCCGACCCCAGAGCGCACCCGUUAGGCGAUGAAGGCGCAAAAGAAGAGGAAGAAAACCCGGAACAGGGCCUCGGUGGCAAAUGGAGGCGAGAAGGCCUCAGAGAAGCCCGCCCCAGAGGAAGUUCCCGUACAAGCAGUUGGCCCAGGGAUUGGCUUGGUGCGUGGAGCGACUGCAGCUGGAUCUCAAGAGGCAGAAACUCACCCCGACACGACUCGAGCAACAUAGUGGGACACCUGUCUCUUAACAACAACAGCCAAAACAAACAAGCAAUAGCAAAACCCUCAAGUUUCGGAUAUACUCCUGAUUAAGAAACCCAGAAUAGGAAAAAAUUACCCAUGGACUCUUUAAUAAUAAGGAAAAUAAGUGCAUUUGAAGCCAGUCUUACUUCAGAGGUCAUUUCUAUAAUCACCCGUUUGGAGCAGCAGUGCCCGACAUCGGCAUCUGGGAUCCUGACACGAUUGAUAGAACCGAAUCAAGCAAGUAUGUACUACCCAGAGGAAACCUCCACCUAUAUUGGGAAGUGCUGGCAACUGUUUCUCUGAAACUCUUCAUUCCUCAAACGUUAAUAUUUGCCACAAAUAGUAUUAUCAAAAUGGGGAUCAGGUAAAAUUCAAGAGAUUUCCUGAUUCUUGGACAUAAAAUACAGUUUUGUAAUAUUCCUCAAAUGCAGAUGGUCAUGGGGUCUUUCUCUUGGGGUAUAAUACUUCUGGUAAAGCAAAUAUUCUUUGGAAUACAGUUUAAGAAACACUGCUUUAGAGAGAAUAAUUCAGAUCAUUAAUUUAUGUAAAAAACUUAAAGUACUUGCUACUAUGUC